rnacentral:rRNA from 1 species
AUUGAACGCUGGCGGCAGGCCUAACACAUGCAAGUCGAGCGGAUGAAGGGAGCUUGCUCCUGGAUUCAGCGGCAGACGGGUGAGUAAUGCCUAGGAAUCUGCCUGGCAGUGGGGGAUAACGUCCGGACACGGGCGCUAAUACCGCAUACGUCCUGAGGGAGAAAGUGGGGGAUCUUCGGACCUCACGCUAUCAGAUGAGCCUAGGUCGGAUUAGCUAGUUGGUGGGGUAAAGGCCUACCAAGGCGACGAUCCGUAACUGGUCUGAGAGGAUGAUCAGUCACACUGGAACUGAGACACGGUCCAGACUCCUACGGGAGGCAGCAGUGGGGAAUAUUGGACAAUGGGCGAAAGCCUGAUCCAGCCAUGCCGCGUGUGUGAAGAAGGUCUUCGGAUUGUAAAGCACUUUAAGUUGGGAGGAAGAGCAGUAAGUUAAUACCUUGCUGUUUUGACGUUACCAACAGAAUAAGCACCGGCUAACUUCGUG